rnacentral:rRNA from 1 species
CGGAGGGUGCAAGCGUUGUUCGGAAUUACUGGGCGUAAAGGGCGCGUAGGCGGCCCGCUAAGUUCGGUGUGAAAGCCCCUGGCUCAACUGGGGAACGGCGCUGGAAACUGGCGGACUCGAGUACCGGAGAGGAGGGUGGAAUUCCUGGUGUAGCGGUGAAAUGCGUAGAUAUCAGGAGGAACACCGGUGGCGAAGGCGGCCCUCUGGACGGAUACUGACGCUGAGGCGCGAAAGCGUGGGGAUCAAACAGGAUUAGAUACCCUGGUAGUCCACGCUGUAAACGAUGGGGACUAGGUGUGGGGGGUAUUGACCCUUCCGUGCCGCCGCUAACGCAUUAAGUCCCCCGCCUGGGGAUUACGGCCGCAAGGUUA